rnacentral:rRNA from 1 species
GUGCUGUGGAAGCCGCCUUAUUGAAUAAACAUGGUGGUGUCGCUCUCCUUGGAGCAUGUGCACCUCAUCGUCUUUAUCCAUCCACCUGUGCACCUUUUGUAGUCUUGGGAAAUGAAUGCAAUGGAACCGUAGGUUUUUCAGCCUUUGGAAAUUUUCGUGAAGCAUGGCUCUUCUCAAUAGCCUUGCAAUCGUUACUCAGACUAUGUUUUUCAUACACCAUGUAGUAUGUUUGCAGAAUGUAUCAAUGGGCUCUGUGCCUAUAACAAUACAACUUUCAGCAACGGAUCUCUUGGCUCUCGCAUCGAUAGAAUGCGAUAAGUAAUGUGAAUUGCAGAAUUCAGUGAAUCAUCGAAUCUUUGAACGCACCUUGCCUCCUUGGUAGUGGAGACCAUGCCUGUUUGAGUUCAUAAUGUAAUAUACCACAAAGAGCGGAACCGUUUGCGGUAACCAGUCGCCAGUGAUAAUUAUCUACGCCAAUAGACAUGAACUGCUCUCUGUUGUUCUGCUUCAAAUUGUCUGGCUAGACACUUUUGAAUGUUUGACCUCAAAUCAGGUAGGAGC